rnacentral:lncRNA from 1 species
UCUCUUUCUCUUCUUCAGACGCGGGUUCCUCAACCUGAAAUUCUGCAUCUUCAUCACUCAGAGUGGAUCCCUCAGCCAUAAUCGAAUCUUCGUGGUCCUCUUCCUCAGAUAUCUCUAGUGUUUAUUCCUCCGACUGCAUGGCUUCUACCUCGACUAUCUCAUUCUGAUCAUCCUUAGGUAAUAAUAUGUACUUAUCAUUCAUUGAAUGAACCACGUCAUGAUGCAAAUUUGAUGUUAAUAACACGUCUUCUUUAAAUAAAAAAAUCUGCAUAUAUAUAUAUAUAAGACUUGUUUCAGAAUUCAAAUCACACCUUGUUUUGAAAAAUUAAUGAUAAUUUACAUACCUUCUUUGUUCUCAUUUAUUCUGCAAUGA